rnacentral:lncRNA from 1 species
ACCCAAAACUAUUUUAAUUUUUAUUACAACUCAGUAAUUCGUGAUUUUGAAUCUGAAAAUUGUCAAUUACAAAUUUGGACCUAACACAAUGAGUGUACUAAUCCAAGUAUAGUAUAUGAGACAAAAGCCUUAAGCUUGCCAAGUAUCUGCAAACAGUCCACGAUAAUAAAAUUAUACGAGGCGUAUUUGUCACAAAAGAAUGCCUUAUAAUACCAACAUGCCUUCUGGUCAAUACUUACUUAAUAACCGUUUUACUUGAUGAAACACAAGACUUUUUGACACGAGUUGACUCUCUAAGUCGUACAAAAGGACUAUAUUUUGCACUCACUCCUUCAACUACCUUCCAGCAAAUUUCAUCAUGAGUCUAGACAUGAUAAGUUGCAUAUUUUUUUCCAACAAAGUUUACUGCACGUGAACACUUGAACACAUCCAUGUGUUACACUCAGUGCCAAGGUGCUCGCUUAUUUGAGAUGCACAGCUUCCAUCUUGGCUGCAUGCUUACUCACAAUAUACAAUCCUCUCAGAGCAUAUUCGUUGUAAAGGAACUCUCCUAACUUCAUCCGAAGCAUUGAGGUUAAUUCGCACGCCCUACAAUGCAAAUUUGUGCGCAUCACUUCACAAUUUAGCGUAAUGCUUGUCUUCAUGCUCUUCAUGAGCGCCUAGCUAGCGCAAGUAAGGUCAUCACUUAAUCCAUGGCUAAUUAGAAGUCGUUGAAAAAUAUGAAAAGGAGAAUAUGGAGAAUGGAAACAGGAACCAAAUAUUGAAGAAUACCUAAAAGAAGGCCUACACUUAUAAAAUAUGCUUUUCUAAAAUCGAUAGUUACCUCCACACAAAUUGCUUUUAGAAUUUUCGACAAACAGUUCAGAGGAUAUUACAAACCUUUGAGAGUUUGCACAAAGCAUGAAAAACUCCUUCAAAGAAAUGAACACAAAAGAAAAAAGAAGAAGAAUGAAAUAUGAUUUUUUAGUCAGUCAAAUAUGGUAUGAGAUUGAUUUAGUUUUAGAAAAGGGAAUGUUAAGGAAUAUAAUUUCACAUUAAAUAAAGAUGAAAACAUAGACCAAUUUAUAAGGUUUUAUGCUACUCUUCUUAACAAGGUUGAUAUUUUAAUAUGUAACUCCAAAUCUUAACAUAGAUUCAGUGUUCAUUAAUCUUUAACGAGUAAUUCGAUCUAAUUAAGACUCAAAAAUAAGCACACAAAUUUCAAGAUUAGUUUGUUCAAACGAGUCACCAUCUUACGGAGGCAUGUUAAAGGAUAUAAUUCCAUAUCGCAUAAAGAUGAAAAUAUAUACCAACUUAUUUAAUAUUAGGUUAUUUCUCUUAACAAAGUUGAUUUUUUUAUGAUAAAACCCAAAAUCUUAACAUGAAAAACUAUCACAGAUUUCUACUUUUUCAUCUAUACUUCACUAAUCAGUUCUAAACUUUCCUGAAAGAUAUGAUUUUUCAUGAAAAGCCACCAAGAAGUAAAAUGAAAAAAUCAACCUAAUGGUGUUUUUCCUUUUUUUUUUUUUAGAAUGGGUUUCUCUAUGCUUCAUGCCAAAUUUCUACCCAUUUUGAUCUUGGUAUCUUGUAAUAUGUCCAAUUCUUCUCAUUAAUAUACUAUUUGUACUACAAAUUUAUAACAGCCUUCAUAGUAGAGUCAUUCCCUCAAUAUUGACAUCUUUCCAUAAUCAUUCAUCUAAGAGACGUCACACCACAAGGUCCACAACCGUAUUCUAGUCAACGAACCCACUAUUUAUCAGAUGCAUCCGAAUAUUCCUAAUUCUGCAAUUUCUCUUUCAAUAAGAAAUGAGCUAAAACAGAACCAUUAUUUAUGGUUGGUUAUAGAGCAU